GAUGCAAUGUUCUCUCCCACCGAUGACCAAAGAAGUACAAAUAAGAAGAGACACCAUCUGCACUUAUCAGAUUGGCACCAGUUGAAAGGAGUGGGGUCCCAGCCUGGGUGCAGGUACAAAUCCCUGCCUGGUCAGCAGCAGUUUCCAGCUACUGCUCAGAGUCCUUGAAACAAAUUAAUUCAUAAGUGCAGACCUGGAACCUGGGGAAUUGCUCGGUUUCUCACAUAAAUGACAUAUUCAGUCCUCACCAAUCUCCCUCCACCUUGUCUGUACUUUGUCUACAGAGAUGGGCAGGUAGGCAGACACUAGCGGGACAAUGGGGAAUCCAGAAUACCAUACUUUGCUAGUUAGCAUUAAAUAUAGAAGCAAUGACUUCAACACAUAAUACACAUAUGAUCAUUUGUUAGAGCUCAGAUAAAGACACAGGCCUUCUGUUUCUACAAGGGGAUAUCAGGAAGGAAACAUUUUAUAAAGACCCUCCCAUUUUGGGCUGGGACCUGGUGUAAACUAAGAACGUCUGUUUUAUAAAUCUUUCUAAAUUUCUGGAGGGAUUAAGGCCCCUGAGGGAACAAUGACCACCUCAAAAGGCCAGAAAGACAUGUUUGCAAUUCCAAAGUCACACAUCCAAGUAAGCCCUGAUAAGCAUCGUAACCACCCCUGUUCCUGGCUCCCAGGAUUGACUGAGAUAUAUAUGUUUCCCUUCCAGGCAGGUGCCUCUGGAGCACUGCACACCUUCUCCCAGAGGCCUAAAUCUCUCUAGACCCACUCUACAGUGCACUCUGUAGACUGCUUCCCAGCCGCCUGUAUGUCUUCACUGUAUUCACAGUUCUAAUGCCCACAGGUUUGAGGAGGCUCGAGAAGGCCGAUUCCUCGGUGGUCAGGACCCGUUUUCUGUUGUGCCUCCAGUCCACUACAGCCAGAAAGCACAGGUUGGAGGAACCAGAUGUCACAGACUCAAUAGCUGGCAGCCUUCAUCGUGGUGCCACAAAGCAUGCACUACAUGGUGGCUACAAGGUGGGUGUCAAUGUGUACUGUCUGUUCCUGAUGCUUUGGAGCCACAGAAAGCACUCGGCUCCCGGCAGGCUCUGGGGAGACAGCUCACAGAGACACCAAGCCAUACUCGGGUCUGUAGCUUGUUCCCUGAACCCCUUCCCCAUACGCAGAUGA
rnacentral:lncRNA from 1 species